rnacentral:rRNA from 1 species
UACGAAGGGGGCGAGCGUUGUUCGGAAUCACUGGGCGUAAAGGGCGCGUAGGCGGCCCUCCUAGUCGCGUGUGAAAGCCCCGGGCUCAACCUGGGAACGGCGCGCGAAACGGGGGGGCUGGAGUUCGGGAGAGGAGCGUGGAAUUCCCAGUGUAGAGGUGAAAUUCGUAGAUAUUGGGAAGAACACCGGUGGCGAAGGCGGCGCUCUGGACCGAGACUGACGCUGAGGCGCGAAAGCUAGGGGAGCAAACAGG